UUAUUUGAAACAGGAUACAACCUCCACCACUGGGUAAAAAGGAAUAAUAAAAACAAAGUGGGCCCGAAAGCAGCCACCUUUAAAAAAGCGUCCAAGCUUGACUAUCAUAGUUCCAAAUCACUAAAACAUCCACUAACCCAUCACUUCUAUUGAACCACUUUAUAUUAUUAUAAAAACGAUUAUGCUAGAACUAGUAACAAGAACUUGCCAUUCUCCACAAUGUAAUUAUAAACCAAAACGGACUCUCCAUUGGUAAUUAACGUAAAUGCAAAACCAUAAUAACACAUAAACCAGAAAACCCUAUGGCUACCAACACGUUACCCUAACACUAGAACAUUACAGGAAAGAUUAAAAGAAAGAGAAGGAACUCGGCAAAUUUUAGCCCCGCCUGUUUACCAAAAACAUCGCCUCUUGCUUAAACAUAAGAGGUCCAGCCUGCCCAGUGAUAACAUUUAACGGCCGCGGUAUUCUGACCGUGCGAAGGUAGCAUAAUCACUUGUUCCUUAAAUAGGGACUCGUAUCAACGGCAUCACGAGGGCUAUACUGUCUCCCCUAUCCAAUCAGUGAAACUGAUCCCCCCGUGAAGAAGCGGGGAUUUAAUU
rnacentral:rRNA from 1 species